AUUGAACGCUGGCGGCAUGCCUUACACAUGCAAGUCGAAAGGUAACAGGUUAAGCUGACGAGUGGCGAACGGGUGAGUAAUGUAUCGGAACGUGCCCAGUCGUGGGGGAUAACGUAGCGAAAGCUACGCUAAUACCGCAUACGAUCUACGGAUGAAAGCGGGGGAUCGCAAGACCUCGCGCGACUGGAGCGGCCGAUAUCAGAUUAGGUUGUUGGUGAGGUAAAAGCUCACCAAGCCUGCGAUCUGUAGCUGGUCUGAGAGGACGACUAGCCACACUGGAACUGAGACACGGUCCAGACUCCUACGGGAGGCAGCAGUGGGGAAUUUUGGACAAUGGACGCAAGUCUGAUCCAGCAAUGCCGCGUGCAGGACGAAGGCCUUCGGGUUGUAAACUGCUUUUGUACUGAACGAAACGGUGAGCUCUAAUACAGUUUGCUAAUGACGGUACCGUAAGAAUAAGCACCGGCUAACUACGUGCCAGCCGCCGCUGUAA
rnacentral:rRNA from 1 species